rnacentral:rRNA from 1 species
AUUGAACGCUGGCGGCAUGCCUUACACAUGCAAGCCGAACGGUAACGCGGGGCAACCUGGCGACGAGUGGCGAACGGGUGAGUAAUGCAUCGGAACGUGCCCAGUAGUGGGGGAUAGCCCGGCGAAAGCCGGAUUAAUACCGCAUACGACCUACGGGUGAAAGGGGGGGAUCGCAAGACCUCUCGCUAUGGGAGCGGCCGAUGUCAGAUUAGGUAGGUGGUGGGGUAAAGGCCUACCAAGCCGACGAUCUGUAGCUGGUCUGAGAGGACGACCGGCCACCCGGGGACUGAGACACGGCGCAGACUCCUACGGGAGGCAGCAGUGGGGAAUUGUGGACAAGGGGCGAAAGCCUGAUUCAGCCAUGCCGCGUGCGGGAAGAAGGCCUUCGGGUUGUAAACCGCUUUUGUCAGGGAAGAAAUCUUCUGGGUUAAUACCUCGGGAGGAUGACGGUACCUGAAGAAUAAGCACCGGCUAACUACGUGCCAGCAGCCGCCGUAAGAC